rnacentral:rRNA from 1 species
CGCGGCCUAUCAGCUUGUUGGUGGGGUAAUGGCCUACCAAGGCGACGACGGGUAGCCGGCCUGAGAGGGCGACCGGCCACACUGGGACUGAGACACGGCCCAGACUCCUACGGGAGGCAGCAGUGGGGAAUAUUGCACAAUGGGCGAAAGCCCGAUGCAGCGACGCCGCGUGAGGGAUGACGGCCUUCGGGUUGUAAACCUCUUUCAGCAGGGACGAAGCGUAAGUGACGGUACCUGCAGAAGAAGCGCCGGCCGACUACGUGCCAGCAGCCGCGGUAAGACGUAGGGCGCGAGCGUUGUCCGGAUUUAUUGGGCGUAAAGAGCUCGUAGGCGGCUUGUCGCGUCGACUGUGAAAACCCGCAGCUCAACUGCGGGCCUGCAGUCGAUACGGGCAGGCUAGAGUUCGGUAGGGGAGACUGGAAUUCCUGGUGUAGCGGUGGAAUGCGCAGAUAUCAGGAGGAACACCGGUGGCGAAGGCGGGUCUCUGGGCCGAUACUGACGCUGAGGAGCGAAAGCGUGGGGAGCGAACAGGAUUAGAUACCCUGGUAGUCCACGCUGUAAACGUUGGGCGCUAGGUGUGGGGGACCUCUCCGGUUCUCUGUGCCGCAGCUAACGCAUUAAGCGCCCCGCCUGGGGAGUACGG